UACAGAGGUCUCGAGCGUUAGGCGGAGUCACUGGGCUUAAAGCGUGUGUAGGCGGAUCGUUAAGUGCCUUGUGAAAUCCCACGGCUUAACCGUGGAACUGCUUGGCAUACUGGCGGUCUUGAGCAACCUAGGGGCGAGCGGAACAAAUGGUGGAGCGGUGAAAUGCGUAGAUAUCGUGAGGAACACCAGAGGCGAAGGCGGACUACCUGGACAAUUGCUGACGCUCAGGCAG
rnacentral:rRNA from 1 species